UACGUAGGUGGCGAGCGUUGUUCGGAUUUAUUGGGCGUAAAGGGUCUGUAGGAGGUUUGCUAAGCGCGGGGUGAAAUCCGGGAGCUCAACUCCCGAACUGCCCUGCGAACUGGUAAACUAGAGUGCUGAAGAGGUAAGCGGAAUACCAAGUGUAGCGGUGGAAUGCGUAGAUAUUUGGUAGAACACCAAGAGCGAAGGCAGCUUACUGGUCGGUAACUGACUCUCAUAGACGAAAGCGUGGGGAGCAAAC
rnacentral:rRNA from 1 species